rnacentral:misc_RNA from 1 species
CCUCAGCCAUGUCUGUCUCUCUACCUCCUCCGAGCACCGAGGAGCACGGUGCGGUACAGCUGCACGAGCACAGCAACGCCAACCUUCUCAAGAUCGACACCCAUGACACAUACUCCACUGUAGGCACCAUCAAGAAGCUCAUUGUGAAAGCUCUACCAGCGGAGCAACGCGAAGCACCGCCGCAGCCGCUUCUCAAAGGGCUUAUUCGCAUCAACAAGAAUCCCAAGAAUGCGUACCUCUUCAUGGCCUUCAAGACCCCUGAGGACCGCGCGGCCGCCUCCGCCGUGCUGCAGACCAUCUCCCACCGUGGCCGCCCGUGGACGGAGACGUCGGUAUCGCCACGCGACUUGGAGCUCACCCACAAGGGUGGUGUGAAGCGCCGGCGCGACGGCGACGACGGCGAUGGGAGUAGUAAGCUGACACAGUACGAGCACCUUCACAUGGAGGAACAGCUGAACCGCAAGAAGCGGCACUGUCUUAACGUGAUGCGGAGAAUUCUGCCCGCCGGCGUGUAUGGCUACGCCGCCUUCCAAGAUCGCUUUGCCGGCAUCCUCACGAGCCCUGUAACGGAGGGCUACCGCAACCACGUCAACCUGUCGUUUGGGUUCUGCGCAGAUGGCAGCACGCCGGCGUUGGGCUUCCAGCAGGGCUCCCUCGUGGAGGGAACAGCCGCCGUCCUCCCCGCCACGCUGCCUGAUAAGGACAUUGUGACGAUGAACUCUGCCGCCAAGGUGGUGGCCGCAGCGCUGAUGGACAUGUGCAUGGAGUUCAGAGACGUCGCGAAGGGAGGUCUCGACGUCUUUAAUAAGGUUAAGGCCAGCGGGUUCUGGCGCAAGCUGCAAGUGCGUCACAACGUAAAGGGCGAGGUGAUGAUGGACGUAGAGGCGGAUGCGGCCAGCACGACCGCGGACGUGUGGGCAGCGGUGCGACAACGCCUCGUGGAAGUCUUCGCGUGUGAGGAGAUGCGCGUCAAGCUGGUUGCAGCGACUGGUCUGUCCACAGCGGCCGUGGUGAGCCUCCAGUGCCACACACACACGGGAAUCAGCUCCCUGCCUCUCGACGUGCCGCGCGAGGUGCUGUAUGGCGCACCCACCCUUACGGAAUACCUUGCGGGGCUGUGCUUCGAGCUUAGCCCGACAGCGUUCUUUCAGGUCAACACGCCAGGCAUGGAAACGAUGAUGAUGAAGGUGGCUGAGGUGGCUGAGCUGUCGGCGGGCACAACGCUGCUGGACUUGUGUAGUGGGACGGGGACGAUUGGACUGACGCUGUCGAAGCACGUGAAGCGCGUUAUCGGCAUUGAGCUGGUGGAGUCGGCUGUUGCGAAUGCGCGGCGAAACGCUCAGCAGAACGGCAUCACCAACACGGAGUUCCAUUGCGGACGUGUGGAGCACCUGCUCCCCUCCGUCAUCAGUGGCCUACCUGCCGAGGACCGCGGCGACAUUGUGGUCAUCCUCGACCCUCCCAGGGCUGGGGUGAACAGUACAGUACUGAGGUGGAUCCGCGGCAUGGAGACGAUACGGCGUGUGGUAUACAUUUCCUGCGAGCAGAAGGCGCUGGAGCGGGAUUGCCCUGGGCUGACGAAGCCCAGCACCAAGGCGUAUCGAGGCACACCGUUCGAGGUCACUGCAGCUUUUGCUGUCGACCUUUUCCCGCACACACAUCACGUGGAGAUGGUUGCGGUGCUUACACGUCGCCCAGAGAGCGCUGCAGGCCCUGCAAGCGAGUCGGCACCGGCACCAAAACCGGCGCCAGUGAGUGCGGAACGCGCGGCCGAAGAGGAGGAAACAGUCGCCGACGCUAACGGUGGCUGCGUCGAGUAGCGGAGUCUCACUUUAAAUGAAAGGCACAGCGUUGCAUGGGGGACUGGCACGCAGACAGAUAUGCGCGUGUUUAUGCUGGUAAGAGAGAGAUCACGUAGCGUAUGUGUGUGUAAGGCAGGCGCUCCCUCGUG